AGGCUUAACACAUGCAAGUCGAGGGGCAGCACAGGUAGCAAUACCGGGUGGCGACCGGCGCACGGGUGAGUAACGCGUAUGCAACUUGCCUAUCAGAGGGGGAUAACCCGGCGAAAGUCGGACUAAUACCGCAUGAAGCAGGGGCCCCGCAUGGGGAUAUUUGCUAAAGAUUCAUCGCUGAUAGAUAGGCAUGCGUUCCAUUAGGCAGUUGGCGGGGUAACGGCCCACCAAACCGACGAUGGAUAGGGGUUCUGAGAGGAAGGUCCCCCACAUUGGUACUGAGACACGGACCAAACUCCUACGGGAGGCAGCAGUGAGGAAUAUUGGUCAAUGGCCGAGAGGCUGAACCAGCCAAGUCGCGUGAGGGAUGAAGGUUCUAUGGAUCGUAAACCUCUUUUAUAAGGGAAUAAAGUGCGGGACGUGUCCCGUUUUGUAUGUACCUUAUGAAUAAGGAUCGGCUAACUCCGUGCCAGCAGCCGCGGUAAUACGGAGGAUCCGAGCGUUAUCCGGAUUUAUUGGGUUUAAAGGGUGCGUAGGCGGCCUUUUAAGUCAGCGGUGAAAGUCUGUGGCUCAACCAUAGAAUUGCCGUUGAAACUGGGGGGCUUGAGUAUGUUUGAGGCAGGCGGAAUGCGUGGUGUAGCGGUGAAAUGCAUAGAUAUCACGCAGAACCCCGAUUGCGAAGGCAGCCUGCCAAGCCAUUACUGACGCUGAUGCACGAAAGCGUGGGGAUCAAACAGGAUUAGAUACCCUGGUAGUCCACGCAGUAAACGAUGAUCACUAGCUGUUUGCGAUACACUGUAAGCGGCACAGCGAAAGCGUUAAGUGAUCCACCUGGGGAGUACGCCGGCAACGGUGAAACUCAAAGGAAUUGACGGGGGCCCGCACAAGCGGGGGAACAUGUGGUUUAAUUCGAUGAUACGCGAGGAACCUUACCCGGGUUUGAACGCAUUCGGACCGAGGUGGAAACACCUUUUCUAGCAAUAGCCGUUUGCGAGGUGCUGCAUGGUUGUCGUCAGCUCGUGCCGUGAGGUGUCGGCUUAAGUGCCAUAACGAGCGCAACCCUUGCCACUAGUUACUAACAGGUAAAGCUGAGGACUCUGGUGGGACUGCCAGCGUAAGCUGCGAGGAAGGCGGGGAUGACGUCAAAUCAGCACGGCCCUUACAUCCGGGGCGACACACGUGUUACAAUGGCGUGGACAAAGGGAAGCCACCUGGCGACAGGGAGCGAAUCCCCAAACCACGUCUCAGUUCGGAUCAGAGUCUGCAACCCGACUCCGUGAAGCUGGAUUCGCUAGUAAUCGCGCAUCGGCCAUGGCGCGGUGAAUACGUUCCCGGGCCUUGUACACACCGCCCGUCAAGCCAUGGGAGCCGGGGGUACCUGAAGUCCGUAACCGCGAGGAUCGGCCUAGGGUAAAACUGGUGACUGGGGCUAAA
rnacentral:rRNA from 1 species